rnacentral:rRNA from 1 species
CGGAGGGUGCAAGCGUUAUCCGGAUUCACUGGGUUUAAAGGGUGCGUAGGCGGGCAGGUAAGUCAGUGGUGAAAUCUCCGGGCUUAACUCGGAAACUGCCGUUGAUACUAUCUGUCUUGAAUUCUGUGGAGGUGAGCGGAAUAUGUCAUGUAGCGGUGAAAUGCUUAGAUAUGACAUAGAACACCAAUUGCGAAGGCAGCUCACUACACAGCGAUUGACGCUGAGGCACGAAAGCGUGGGGAUCAAACAGGAUUAGAUACCCUGGUAGUCCACGCCCUAAACUAUGGAUACUCGACAUACGCGAUACACUGUGUGUGUCUGAGCGAAAGCAUUAAGUAUCCCACCUGGGAAGUACGACCGCAAGGUUG